GCUGGGCGGAUUAGUGGCGAACGGGUGAGUAAUACGUGAGUAACCUGCCCUUGACUCUGGGAUAAGCCUGGGAAACUGGGUCUAAUACUGGAUACUACCUCUUGCCGCAUGGUGGGUGGUGGAAAGGGUUUUACUGGUUUUGGAUGGGCUCACGGCCUAUCAGCUUGUUGGUGGGGUAAUGGCUCACCAAGGCGACGACGGGUAGCCGGCCUGAGAGGGUGACCGGCCACACUGGGACUGAGACACGGCCCAGACUCCUACGGGAGGCAGCAGUGGGGAAUAUUGCACAAUGGGCGGAAGCCUGAUGCAGCGACGCCGCGUGAGGGAUGACGGCCUUCGGGUUGUAAACCUCUUUCAGUAGGGAAGAAGCGAGAGUGACGGUACCUGCAGAAGAAGCGCCGGCUAACUACGUGCCAGCAGCCGCGGUAAUACGUAGGGCGCAAGCGUUGUCCGGAAUUAUUGGGCGUAAAGAGCUCGUAGGCGGUUUGUCGCGUCUGCUGUGAAAGCCCGGGGCUCAACCCCGGGUCUGCAGUGGGUACGGGCAGACUAGAGUGCAGUAGGGGAGACUGGAAUUCCUGGUGUAGCGGUGAAAUGCGCAGAUAUCAGGAGGAACACCGAUGGCGAAGGCAGGUCUCUGGGCUGUUACUGACGCUGAGGAGCGAAAGCAUGGGGAGCGAACAGGAUUAGAUA
rnacentral:rRNA from 1 species